rnacentral:rRNA from 1 species
UACGUAGGGUGCAAGCGUUAAUCGGAAUUACUGGGCGUAAAGCGUGCGCAGGCGGUUUUGUAAGUCUGACGUGAAAUCCCCGGGCUCAACCUGCGAAUUGCGUUGGAGACUGCAAGGCUAGAAUCUGGCAGAGGGGGGUAGAAUUCCACGUGUAGCAGUGAAAUGCGUAGAGAUGUGGAGGAACACCGAUGGCGAAGGCAGCCCCCUGGGUCAAGAUUGACGCUCAUGCACGAAAGCGUGGGGAGCAAACAGG